AAAGGACUCAAGGGUGCCAACGCUAGAGGAAGGAAUUUGGUGGUCCUUGUGCAGCGAGCUGUUCAAGAUCUGUGGGUCACAGGACAGGGUGUUGCCGCUCCCACUGACCAGAUGAGGAAGCCGAGACUCAGAGGAGGUACUGCUACACCCCACAUACCCCACUGUCGCUGACUGAGCAGGACUUGAAUCCCAUGGGCAUCGCAUACUCCUUCCUGUCCUCUGGAUGAGCCCCCACCUCACGCCAGCCAGAGUGGCCUAUGGAGGGGUCAUCACCCCAUCUCACUGAGGUGCUGAUGAA